rnacentral:rRNA from 1 species
UACAGAGGUCUCAAGCGUUGUUCGGAUUCAUUGGGCGUAAAGGGUGCGUAGGUGGCGCCGUAAGUCGGGGUGUGAAAUUUCGGAGCUUAACUCCGAAACUGCAUUCGAUACUGCGGUGCUUGAGGACUGGAGAGGAGACUGGAAUUUAUGGUGUAGCAGUGAAAUGCGUAGAGAUCAUAAGGAAGACCAGUGGCGAAGGCGGGUCUCUGGACAGUUCCUGACACUGAGGCACGAAGGCCAGGGGAGCAAACGGG